UACGAAGGGUGCAAGCGUUACUCGGAAUUACUGGGCGUAAAGCGUGCGUAGGUGGUUUUGUUAAGUCUGAUGUGAAAGCCCUGGGCUCAACCUGGGAAUUGCAUUGGAUACUGGCAGGCUAGAGUGCGGUAGAGGAUGGCGGAAUUCCCGGUGUAGCAGUGAAAUGCGUAGAGAUCGGGGAGGAACAUCUGUGGCGAAGGCGGCCAUCUGGACCAGCACUGACACUAGGCACGAAAGCGUGGGGGAGCAAAA
rnacentral:rRNA from 1 species